UACGAAGGGGGCUAGCGUUGUUCGGAAUUACUGGGCGUAAAGGGCGCGUAGGCGGUACUUCAAGUCAGGCGUGAAAGCCCCGGGCUCAACCUGGGAACCGCGCUUGAGACUGGAGAACUCGAGUUCGGGAGAGGAUGGUGGAAUUCCCAGUGUAGAGGUGAAAUUCGUAGAUAUUGGGAAGAACACCGAUGGCGAAGGCAGCCAUCUGGACCGACACUGACGCUGAGGCGCGAAAGCCAGGGGAGCAAACGGG
rnacentral:rRNA from 1 species